rnacentral:rRNA from 1 species
AGCGAACGCUGGCGGCAGGCCUAACACAUGCAAGUCGAACGGAUCCUUCGGGAUUAGUGGCGGACGGGUGAGUAACACGUGGGAACGUGCCCUUUGGUUCGGAACAACUCAGGGAAACUUGAGCUAAUACCGGAUGUGCCCUUCGGGGGAAAGAUUUAUCGCCAUUGGCGCGGCCCGCGUCUGAUUAGCUAGGUGGUGAGGUAAAGGCUCACCAAGGCGACGAUCAGUAGCUGGUCUGCGAGGAUGAUCAGCCACAUUGAGACUGAGACACGGCCCAGACUCCUACGGGAGGCAGCAGUGGGGAAUCUUGCGCAAUGGGCGAAAGCCUGACGCAGCCAUGCCGCGUGAAUGAUGAAGGUCUUAGGAUUGUAAAAUUCUUUCACCGGGGACGAUAAUGACGGUACCCGGAGAAGAAGCCCCGGCUAACUUCGUGCCAGCCGCCGCCGUAAAAC